rnacentral:rRNA from 1 species
GACAGAGGGUGCAAACGUUGUUCGGAAUUACUGGGCGUAAAGGGCGCGUAGGCGGCAUGACAAGUCACUUGUGAAAUCUCCGGGCUUAACUCGGAACGGUCAAGUGAUACUGUCGCGCUAGAGUGCGGAAGGGGCAAUCAGAAUUCUUGGUGUAGCGGUGAAAUGCGUAGAUAUCAAGAGGAAUACCUGAGGUGAAGACGGGUUGCUAGGCCGACACUGACGCUGAAGCGCGAAAGCCAGGGGAGCAAACGGG